GGAGUUAACUGCUUCAGUUUGAAAUGG
rnacentral:piRNA from 1 species